CUUUAUUUACAAGGGUUCUGGGGAGGAGUGAAAAUGACAAAAGAGAGGUGGCAGGAAGGAGGAGGAUGUUUGAGUAUUCCCACAAACGGUUGAUUAGUCAGUGAAUUAAAGAGAGUUCUUGUUCCUGGAUAAUUUGGAAUGAACACAUUUCCUGUUCACUCAGAGAUACAGCAGCGAGUUUAUUCUGGGUGGCUUCCACAGUGACCAUUGUGGAGAAGAAAUCUUGUAAUAUAAUUGAAGAACAAUAGCCAUAUAAUUAACACAGAUGUUCAGGUAUGAGUCAUUGAAAAAUUAUCAUCCUUACUGUGAAAUAAGAUUGGUCAAGGCGAGGCUGGUCCUUCAAAGAAGGAAAACCCAACAUGGUGCAAUGUGUGCUGCAGUAAAUGGCAUGGGGAAAAUCUGAUUGCCACAGACAGAAGAAUGAAACUGGAUGCCUAUUUCUCACAAUACACAAAAGCGAUUCAAGAUUAAAGACUUAACUGUAAGACUUGAAACUGUAAAAAUACUAGAAGAAAAUCUAGGGAAAACUGUUCUGGACAUUGGCCUAGAAAAAGAAUUUCUGACUAAGACUUCAAAAGCACAGUAAACAAAAAUAGACAAACGGGACUUAAUGAAACUAAAACUCUUCUGCAGAGCAAAGAAAAUAAGAAACAGAGUGAACAGACAACCUGCAAAAUGGGAGAUAGACAAUGGAGACUAAGAAGAGCAAAGGAAUGACAGAGAGGUGGAGGAUGAGAAAUUACUUAAUGGGUACAAAGUACAUUAUUUGAGUGAUGGAUGCCCUAAAAGCUCUGACUUGACCAUUAUGCAAUCUCUGCAUGCAAUAAAAUUGCACUUGCACCCCAUACAUUUAUAUAAAUUAAAAAGUAAAAUAUCCCUCUUUACCACUAGUAAUGAUUUUCCCCUUAAAAUCUAUUUUAACUAUGUAGCAGACCCUCUUAAUAUUCUGCUCAUAUUUUCCUGUCACUUGCCAUUGCUGUGCACACUGAUGGUUUUCCUACUGCCAUCACCAGUACUCCAUUUGAGAGCUUUCUCUGGUAAGCUUGGUUCGUGUGCAGGGAAGGGAGGCUAAAGGUUCUGGGAAGUUGAAACACCAGUAGCAGUCCUCAUCCAGUGACAGAUGGAAACUGGAGGAUAAAUAACUCAGCUUCGUCAUCUAUUGGGUGGGACCACUGUGAGGGAUAUUCUGUAUUAUCUCUCAGAGGUCCUCAGCAGGGCUGACUCCCAGGUGUCCUUUGUGGUAACCUGCUCACUAAUACCUGGCAUUGGCUUCUUUCUCUUCCUUUUAUCACCCUUUCCCCUUCCCAGUUCUCCUAUUAGAGCUUCUUGUGAUCACUUUCCAAAUGAACUAUGUGCUAUGGUUUGAAUAUUUGUCACCUCCAAAACUCAUGCUCAAUUUAAUCCCUAAUGUAGGAAUAUUGAGUGGUGCAGCCUUUAAGAUGUGAUUGGAUCAUGAGGACUCUCCCCUCAUGAAUGGAUUAAUUCAUUCAUGGAUUAAUUGAUUAAUGAAUUAAUGAGUUAAUGGAUUAAUGGGUUAUCAUUGGAGGGGAACUUGUGGUUUAUAAGAGAGAGACCUGAGCUAGCAUCUUAGUAUGCUCAGCCCCCUGUCUGUGUGAUGCUCUGCACUACCUUGGGAUUGUGUAGAAAGUCUUCACCAACAAGAAGGCUUUUACCAGAUAUGUCCCCUUGGCCUUGGGCUUCCCAGUCUCAAG
rnacentral:lncRNA from 10 species